GGUUGGUCUGAGUGCAGUGGUGUUUACAACUAAUUAAUUGAUCACAACCAGUUACAGAUUCCUUUGUUCCUUCUCCACUCCCACUGCUUCACUUGACCAGCCAAAA
ensembl:misc_RNA Y_RNA Y RNA